UACAUGGGGUGCAAACGUUGCUCGGAAUCAUUGGGCGUAAAGCGCGCGUAGGCGGUUACACAAGUUGGAUGUGAAAGCCCUCGGCUUAACUGAGGAAGUGCAUCCAAAACUGUGCAGCUAGAGUACUAAAGAGGGUCGCGGAAUUCCCGGUGUAGAGGUGAAAUUCGUAGAUAUUCGGAAGAACACCAGUGGCGAAGGCGACUUACUGGACACAUAUUGACGCUGAGGUGCGAAAGCGUGGGGAGCAAACAGG
rnacentral:rRNA from 1 species